GGCAGCCAAAGCCCAGGUGUGGCUGGAGCCCGUGUGUGCCCACCUGGGGCUGGGGGUGCAGGAGCCGCACCCAGGCGAGCGGGCAGCCUUUGUGGCCUAUGCCUUGGCUUUUCCCCGGGCCUUCCAGGGCCUCCUGGACUCCUACAGCGUGUGGAGGUGAGCCCCGGCACUUUAGGGGUGGGCUCAGCAGAACCUCAGCAGCCCGUGACCCCCUUAUCCAUUCCUGCAGGAGUGGUCUGCCCAACUUCCUAGCAGUCGCCCUGGCCUUGGGAGAGCUGGGCUACCGGGCAGUGGGCGUGAGGCUGGACAGUGGCGACCUGCUACAGCAGGCUCAGGAGAUCCGCAAGGUCUUCCGAGCUGCUGCAGCGCAGUGAGUUUCUUGGGGAGGAGGUGUGCCUGGUGGGAGAUUUGGGAAUGGGGCAGGGAAGGACAGUGACGUGCUCUGCUGUAGUUUCAGUGGUGAUAUUGCAGGCCGUGGCAGGGAGGUAAGCGGUGGGGUUCCCUAGGAGCUCCCAAGCAGAAGGUGAGCGCAGGUGUCGUUGACUGAGGCGGGGGGUUGGGGGCAGGGGGACAAGAGGGUGAAUCAGGAAGAUCUGAGGGGCGGCCCCCACCCUUUCUUCACCCACGCGACAGGUUCCAGGUGCCCUGGCUGGAGUCAGUCUCCAUCGCAGUCAGCAACAACAUUGACGAGGAGGCGCUGGCCCGACUGGCCCAGGAGGGCAGUGAGGUGAAUGUCAUUGGCAUUGGCACCAGUGUGGUCACCUGCCCCCAACAGCCUUCCCUGGGCGGCGUCUAUAAGCUGGUGGCCGUCGGGGGCCAGCCGCGAAUGAAGCUGACCGAGGACCCUGAGAAGCAGACGUUGCCUGGGAGCAAGGCUGCUUUCCGGCUCCUGGGCUCUGACGGUGAGGCCCUCCCAUCCCCCCUGCUGUCCACCUUCAAAACACCAGGGCCCCCCCUUAUUCUUGCCUCACCCACACAGGGUCUCUACUCAUGGACGUGCUGCAGUUAGCAGAAGAGCCGGAGCCACAGGCUGGGCAGGAGCUGAGGGUGUGGCCUCCAGGGGCCCAGGAGCCCUGUACCGUGAGGCCAGCCCAGGUGGAGCCACUACUGCGGCUCUGCCUCCAGCAGGGACAGCUGUGUGAGCCGCUCCCAUCCCUGGCAGAGUCUAGAGCCUUGGCCCAGCUGUCCCUGAGCCAACUCAGCCCUGAGCACAGGCGGCUGCGGAGCCCUGCACAGUACCAGGUGGUGCUGUCCGAGAGGCUGCAGGCCCUGGUGAACAGUCUGCGUGCAGGGCCGUCCCCCUGAGACUCGGAGUGGGGCUGCCUGGAAAUAACACGAAUCACUCACUUUUCCCCA
rnacentral:sRNA from 1 species